AUAUUUACCAGGCAGGGGAAAUACCAUGAUCACGAAGGUGGUUUUCCCAGGGCUAGCCUUAUCCAUUGCACUCCAGAUGUGCUGACCCCUGUGAUUUUUUCCAAAUACAGGGAAACUCGACUGCAUAAUUUGUGGUAGUGGGGGGCUGUUUUCAUGGUCUCUCCUG
rnacentral:snRNA from 1 species